AUUGAACGCUGGCGGCAGGCCUAACACAUGCAAGUCGAGCGGAUGAGUGGAGCUUGCUCCAUGAUUCAGCGGCGGACGGGUGAGUAAUGCCUAGGAAUCUGCCUGGUAGUGGGGGACAACGUUUCGAAAGGAACGCUAAUACCGCAUACGUCCUACGGGAGAAAGUGGGGGAUCUUCGGACCUCACGCUAUCAGAUGAGCCUAGGUCGGAUUAGCUAGUUGGUGAGGUAAAGGCUCACCAAGGCGAAGAUCCGUAACUGGUCUGAGAGGAUGAUCAGUCACACUGGAACUGAGACACGGUCCAGACUCCUACGGGAGGCAGCAGUGGGGAAUAUUGGACAAUGGGCGAAAGCCUGAUCCAGCCAUGCCGCGUGUGUGAAGAAGGUCUUCGGAUUGUAAAGCACUUUAAGUUGGGAGGAAGGGUAGUAAGUUAAUACCUUGCUGUUUUGACGUUACCAACAGAAUAAGCACCGGCUAACUUCGUGCCAGCAGCCGCGGUAACAC
rnacentral:rRNA from 1 species